AAGUCGUAACAAGGUUUCCGUAGGUGAACCUGCGGAAGGAUCAUUACCGAGUAUGCCCUCCUGGGCGGACCUUCAACCCACUGUAUACUACUUUUUGUUGCUUUGGCGGGCCCGCGCAAGCUACUGGCUUCGGCUGGUAAGUGCCCGCCAGAGGAAACUAAACCCUAACAAUUUUUGUUUUGUCUGAAAAAAAGUAAAUAUUUAAAACUUUCAACAACGGAUCUCUUGGUUCUC
rnacentral:misc_RNA from 1 species